CUGGCUUAAGCUCUAUGGUCGAAAGUGAGAUUCCUGUGCAUGGCAAGCUAUCACUGCAGGCGAAGCGUAUAGGUUGCUUUGUGUAGGAUUUUAUUCGAACUCCAUUCGUAGUUUCAUGCAUCGUGACAUCACGGACAGUAAUGUUUGAAACACACGCUUUUGUAUUGUCCUUUCCCAGUCCUCCGAUGCUAAUUCCAUGGCCAGGCCCACAGUCAACAUCAUGUGGAUUCCAUCUGUGUUGGGGGAAUCUCCGGGGGAUGAAGUUGUAAAAUCAGACACUUGAAUGCUCAUGCAAUUAUCAAACUUGAGGUGGGUUUGAGGGCUGUUUUGUAUGGUUAUUCCAUUGACUGUUACACCAUUACUCCCGUAGAACCUCAAAGCCUACAUGCACUCCAAGGAAGGAAACAGGUCCAACAAGGAACGUAGAAUCAGAUGGAAUUAAUAAUGUUGACGCUGCCACCUUACAAGCUUCCUCCCAAGCAUCUUCGAAAGCCUGCGCACAUUGAUUGUUGCGGAACUUUCCCCUUCGGCGAUAGACCUGCGGUUUCCUUUCCAGUAUACACUCUGCCUAGCGUCACAAGUUCCAAAUCUCGAAGAGAGUAAGGAGACUAAGAGGAGAAAGUUGAGGGAAAGAUAUUUCAAGAGUAUGGGUCCGGUCAGAUACUUAACCAGUCCUGGUAAGGUCUUCGGUUUAAUAAAAACCAAAAUCCAUUUUAUCAGGUAUCACUAGGAAUGGCGAAAGAGUCAAGAAAAGUUGCCAUAUAAUUACAGUUUUUGUUAUUAUCAUACGGGGGAAAAAUGUUGGAUAGCAAAGCAAGCCACAUGAAGUUGGUCAUAACGCGCAAGUCACAUGAACAAUAUUUUUCGAGUACUCUGUAGAAUUUGUGUGUGGCCAACAACUCGCGUAAGACAUAAUAUUUGAAAAUUGCAUCAUUGUGUAAUCUUAACCCGUGAUUUGAUGUAACGUUUUCUACAUUCGUAUUCGUAUAUAUAAUCAUUUUAUAA